CAGUAUACUUUUUAAAAAGAAAAAUUAAAGCUGGAUUAUUAAUAGAUAGGAUCUUGAAAUUCAAAGAAUUUGGCGGCACCUUAAUCUUAUUAGAGGAACCUGUUUUAUAAACGAUAAACCACGAAAGAUCUUAUUUACUUUAAGUAGUUUGUAUACCGUCAUUAUCAGAUGAUUUUAAGAGAAAAUAAUCAUUAAAAUUAAUAAAAAUUAAAUAUAUUAGAUCAAGGUGCAGCUAAUAGGUAAGGAAAAAUGGGUUACAUUAAAUUAAUUUAUACGGAAAAGGUUUUUAAAUAAACAUGAUAAGGCGGAUUUAAUUGUAUAUUUAAUUUUAAUAAGUUAGAUAGAAAUUGGCUCUGAGGUGUGU
rnacentral:rRNA from 1 species